rnacentral:snoRNA from 1 species
CUUCCCCUCCCUUACACCAGUCACUCUGUCCCCAGUGGAGUGGUCUGACAUUGACAGGGGAUACAGCACCACGGCUCUCUCACCUCUCAUNAAUUUCUUGUUAACAAA